UACGAAGGUGGCAAGCGUUACUCGGAAUUACUAGGCGUAAAGGGCAGGUAGGCGGUUCGGUAAGUCUGUUGUGUAAGCUCCCGGCUUAACUGGGAGAGGUCAACGGAAACUACCGGACUUGAGUAUAGGAGAGGUUGCUGGAAUUCCCGGUGUAGCGGUGAAAUGCGCAGAGAUCGGGAGGAACACCAAUGGCGAAGGCAGGUAACUGGACUAUUACUGACGCUCAGCUGCGAAAGCUAGGGGAGCAAACAGG
rnacentral:rRNA from 1 species